ACCCAAUAGAUACCCCGGUAGUCCCAGCCGUAAACGAUGCUCGCUAGGUGUCAGACAUGGCGCGACCGUGUCUGGUGCCGCAGGGAAGCCGUGAAGCGAGCCACCUGGGAAGUACGGCCGCAAGGCUGAAACUUAAAGGAAUUGGCGGGGAGCACAACAACGGGUGGAGCCUGCGGUUUAAUUGGACUCAACGCCGGACAACUCACCGGGGACGGACAGCAAAAUGUAGGCCAGGCUGAAGACCUUGCCUGAAUCGCUGAGAGGAGGUGCAUGGCCGUCGCCAGUUCGUACUGUGAAGCAUCCUGUUAAGUCAGGCAACGAGCGAGACCCGUGCCCACUGUUACCAGCAUAUCCUCCGGGAUGAUGGGUACUCUGUGGGGACCGCCGGUGUUAAAUCGGAGGAAGGUGCGGGCCACGGUAGGUCAGUAUGCCCC
rnacentral:rRNA from 1 species